GGGACGAUAGCUUAUGCGGUCUGCAGCGCUGGACUGAAAAUCCAGAGGGUGAAGGUUCUACGCCUUCUCGUCCCA
rnacentral:tRNA from 1 species